ensembl:lncRNA
CUUGCUGGGAAUAAUGAGAAGUAUAGAGGCAGGUGUUUAGGUGGCUGAGGUUGCCAGGGCUACGCGGCUUGUCUUCCAUGACCGAUCAGCACAGUGAGAAAAAGCAGGGACAUGAUGUCCUGGCUUACUGCACAAGAAUCAUUCUAGAAGGGCAAAGCAACGAACAGGAGAACAUUUCUUUCUUUCAUGAAACCAUUCGGUGCCAGACACUCUGGAAGAUCAGCAUGCCUGUUGCUAGCUAUUGGUGUCCAAAACACUUCAGUCAGUGCAGUGAGAAGGUUGAGUGACAACCCCUUCCUAGUAUACCACUUUUGAACAGGACAGUGUGGAACAGCUCGGUAUGGUGAUCAGUUUGAUUCCUUGUCCUACUUGUACUCUGGACCAGAUAAGAUAAUUGAUGGAAAAUUACAAAUCAUUAGUAAUACAAAGAAGAGGGCACCAGUGUUUGUCUGGGAAUUGGGAAUUGGGAAUUGGACGCUUUCUCCUUUCUCUUUCACCAUCCGAAUCAUGACACUGAAAGAGGAAAGCCGAGCACACUCAGAAUGUUCCAGCAAAGCCUUUUCCAAAAAGAGCUCUGACUACUUUACUGCACAAAGAAGGAAGGGAAAAAAAGGAAAGUGAACUGAAUUCCUCUACUGCCUCUUUUUGAUGUGCAGCCAUGUACAGAAAUCUGCAUUUAUAAACUGUUAUCUGUCCAAUACAUUGAAUUUGAGCUGUGUUUUAU